rnacentral:rRNA from 1 species
CCUACGGGCGGCAGCAGUGGGGAAUAUUGCACAAUGGGGGAAACCCUGAUGCAGCGACGCCGCGUGAGUGAAGAAGUAAUUCGUUAUGUAAAGCUCUAUCAGCAGGGAAGAAAAUGACGGUACCUGAGUAAGAAGCCCCGGCUAACUACGUGCCAGCAGCCGCGGUAAUACGUAGGGGGCAAGCGUUAUCCGGAUUUACUGGGUGUAAAGGGAGCGUAGACGGCGAUGCAAGUCUGAAGUGAAAGGCGGGGGCCCAACCCCUGGACUGCUUUGGAAACUGUAUGGCUGGAGUGCAGGAGAGGUAAGUGGAAUUCCUAGUGUAGCGGUGAAAUGCGUAGAUAUUAGGAGGAACACCAGUGGCGAAGGCGGUCUGCUGGACAGCAACUGACGCUGAGGCGCGAAAGCGUGGGGAGCAAACAGGAUUAGAUACCCCAGUAGUC